UACGUAGGGGGCAAGCGUUGUCCGGAUUUACUGGGCGUAAAGAGCGCGUAGGCGGAAGCUUAAGCGGUGCCUGAAAGCCCCCGGCUCAACCGGGGAGGGUGGUGCCGAACUGGGCUUCUUGAGGGCGAUAGAGGAGAGUGGAAUUCCGGGUGUAGCGGUGAAAUGCGUAGAGAUCCGGAGGAACACCAGUGGCGCAGGCGGCUCUCUGGGUCGGCCCUGACGCUGAGGCGCGAAAGCGUGGGGAGCGAACAGG
rnacentral:rRNA from 1 species